ACUAGAAAAAUGACUUUUUGCGUCACUUCUUUUGCGACGGUCAAACAAGCGGUCACAAAAAAAGAAAAAAAAGAAAAAGAAAAUAUCAGCAACAGCCAUAACUUAUAAGGGAUGCAAAUAACACGGCUUUCUUUAAUUAAUUUUCCCCAAUUUCAAUUUCAUAACUUUCUCUCUCUCUAUGAUGGAAGCUCUCAAUGUGCCUUAGCUCUCUCUUGCACUCACCCAUGGUCGUCACAGGUGAUUUCAUUGCAAAUUAGGUGAUUUCAUCGGUGUCUUGUGAGAAUACAAGCGUAUCAAUGGCAUCACUGACGGAACUUUCUUUCCACUGGACUGGUUUCAUUAGUGCGAUGAUUUCAAAUAUUGCAUUCACUUACAGGAGUAUCUAUUCAAAGAAGCAAUGGUAAUGUCUUUCACAACAUGUAAUUAUUCUUAGUAUUCUAAAUUGUGGUUUUAAUUUUAUGGAAUGGAAGAGUGUGGAAGAACACAAUUAAGGUCCCCUGCUUGACCUUUAAUAAUGCUUGAUUAUCUCUUAUGUUGCUUUCGACUUUUCUAAAUGCAAGAAGUAAUGGUGUUGAACACUUGACACGCGUAAGACUUAAAAGAGUACAGGAUUUGUGUCCAAUGUGCCUAGUUGGACAUGCACCCAGUAUCUCUUGCUUAGUCUAUUAGUGAUCUUGGAAAUGCAGCAUUAUCUGGCCAAUUUUUGGUCCCUUAGCUUGGCCAGCUCAAGAAUUUACAGUACCUGUACAAGUCAUCCAAAGAACAAGGGAGGAACAGAGCCAUUAUUUCAUCUUACUAGCGCACAUUUUUAUCGAGCCUAAGUACAACUUAUCAUUGGUUGAUGCUGGAGCCUCAGAAGGUGAUCUUCAUACAUUGUCAAUGAUCCAGUUAUGGGAUAGCUGCAAUUGUCAAGGACCAAGGAAGUUUGCUGUCCUACACCUUC